AUUGAACGCUGGCGGCAGGCCUAACACAUGCAAGUCGAGCGGAGCGGCGGACGGGUGCGUAAUGCCUAGGCAUCUUCCUGGUAGUGGGGGAUAACGUCCGGAAACGGGCGCUAAUACCGCAUACUAUCAGAUUAGCCUAGGUCGGAUUGGCUGGUUGGUGGGGUAAUGGCCUACCAAGGCGACGAUCCGUAACUGGUCUGAGAGGAUGAUCAGUCACACGGGAACUGAGACAGGGUCCAGACUCCAACGGGGGGCAGCAGGGGGGAAUAUUGGACAAGGGGCGAAAGCCUGAGCCGGCCAUGCGGCGGGUGGGAAGAAGGUCUUCGGAUUGUAAAGCACUUUAAGUUGGGAGGCGUUACCAACAGAAUAAGCACCGGCUAACUUCGUGCCAGCAGCCGCGGUAAUUC
rnacentral:rRNA from 1 species